rnacentral:rRNA from 1 species
CGUGUAGGCGGUUUAACAAGUCAGAUGUUAAAGCCCCCGGCUUAACCGGGGAUGGUCAUUUGAAACUGUUAGGCUUGAGUGCGAGAGAGGGUAGUGGAAUUCCCAGUGUAGCGGUGAAAUGCGUAGAUAUUGGGAAGAACACCAGUAGCGAAGGCGGCUACCUGGCUCGCAACUGACGCUAAUGCGCGAAAGCGUGGGGAGCAAACA